CAUUUUGGUAAGUAUAUAUAGAGAUCAUCAAAUGAUAGGCCAGGUCCAGUUAACGAUCAGCAAUAUAUGACACAAAGUGGAUCUCUAGUCAUUGUAAGAGUAGUGAAAUUUGCAGCGGGACUAAUGAAUGUUAUGAUCAUGUAAACAUAUCUUCUUUUUAGUCUAGUCUCUCAUCCUUUCCAUUAAAUUCAUGUAACGGGAAAAUAUAAAUCUUUGUGAAAUUUCCCAUAUGAUAAAAUG
rnacentral:misc_RNA from 1 species